CCUGGCUCAGAUUGAACGCUGGCGGCAGGCCUAACACAUGCAAGUCGAACGGUAACAGGAAGCAGCUUGCUGCUUCGCUGACGAGUGGCGGACGGGUGAGUAAUGUCUGGGAAACUGCCUGAUGGAGGGGGAUAACUACUGGAAACGGUAGCUAAUACCGCAUAACGUCGCAAGACCAAAGAGGGGGACCUUCGGGCCUCUUGCCAUCGGAUGUGCCCAGAUGGGAUUAGCUAGUAGGUGGGGUAACGGCUCACCUAGGCGACGAUCCCUAGCUGGUCUGAGAGGAUGACCAGCCACACUGGAACUGAGACACGGUCCAGACUCCUACGG
rnacentral:rRNA from 1 species